AACGCGAAGAACCUUACCUGGGUUUGAACUGCAGUGGAUCGGCGCAGAGAUGUGCCUUCUUUUCGGAGCCGCUGUGGAGGUGCUGCAUGGCUGUCGUCAGCUCGUGUCGUGAGAUGUUGGGUUAAGUCCCGCAACGAGCGCAACCCUUGCCGAUAGUUGCCAUCAGGUAAAGCUGGGAACUCUAUUGGGACUGCCGGUGUUAAACCGGAGGAAGGUGGGGAUGACGUCAAGUCCUCAUGGCCCUUAUGUCCAGGGCUACACACGUGCAACAAUGGUUGGUACAAUGGGUCGCGAAGCCGCGAGGCGGAGCUAAUCUCAAAAAACCAAUCUCAGUUCGGAUUGUAGUCUGCAACUCGACUACAUGAAGUAGGAAUCGCUAGUAAUCGCGGAUCAGCACGCCGCGGUGAAUACGUUCCCGGGCCUUGUACACACCGGCUAC
rnacentral:rRNA from 1 species